rnacentral:rRNA from 1 species
UACGUAGGGGGCUAGCGUUGUCCGGAAUCAUUGGGCGUAAAGAGCGUGUAGGCGGUCCGGUAAGUCCGCUGUGAAAGUCGGGGGCUCAACCCUCGAAUGCCGGUGGAUACUGUCGGGCUAGAGUGCGGAAGAGGAGAGUGGAAUUCCUGGUGUAGCGGUGAAAUGCGCAGAUAUCAGGAAGAACACCCGUGGCGAAGGCGGCUCUCUGGGACGGUACUGACGCUGAGACGCGAAAGCGUGGGGAGCAAACAGG